AACGAACGCUGGCGGCAUGCCUAACACAUGCAAGUCGAACGAGACCUUCGGGUCUAGUGGCGCACGGGUGCGUAACGCGUGGGAACCUGCCCUUAGGUUCGGAAUAACUCCCCGAAAGGGGUGCUAAUACCGGAUAAUGUCUUCGGACCAAAGAUUUAUCGCCUUUGGAUGGGCCCGCGUUGGAUUAGCUAGUUGGUAGGGUAAAAGCCUACCAAGGCGACGAUCCAUAGCUGGUCUGAGAGGAUGAUCAGCCACACUGGGACUGAGACACGGCCCAGACUCCUACGGGAGGCAGCAGUGGGGAAUAUUGGACAAUGGGCGAAAGCCUGAUCCAGCAAGGCCGCGUGAGUGAUGAAGGCCUUAGGGUUGUAAAGCUCUUUUACCCGGGAUGAUAAUGACGGUACCGGGAGAAUAAGCUCCGGCUAACUCCGU
rnacentral:rRNA from 1 species